rnacentral:rRNA from 1 species
GAUGAACGCUGGCGGCGUGCUUAACACAUGCAAGUCGAACGUGAGAGGAUAGCAAUAUUCUUGAAAGUGGCGCACGGGUGAGUAAUACGUAGGUAACCUGCCCUGGAGUGGGGGAUAACAACUAGAAAUGGUUGCUAAUACCGCAUGAAGCCAAGACACUGGGAAGUGACUUGGUAAAAAACUCUGGUGCUUCAGGAGGGGCCUACGGCCGAUUAGCUAGUUGGCGGGGUAAGAGCCCACCAAGGCAGUGAUCGGUAGCUGGUCUGAGAGGACGAUCAGCCACACGGGAACUGAGACACGGUCCCGACUCCUACGGGGGCAGCAGUGAGGAAUAUUGGGCAAUGGGCGGAAGCCUGACCCAGCAACGCCGCGUGGAGGAAGACGG